UACAGAGGGGGCGAGCGUUAUUCGGAAUUAUUGGGCGUAAAGGGCGCGUAGGCGGCUUGACAAGUCCAAGGUGAAAUCCCUCGGCUCAACCGAGGAACUGCCUUGGAAACUGUCUGGCUUGAGGCCGGGAGAGGGUAGUGGAAUUCCCAGUGUAGCGGUGAAAUGCGUAGAUAUUGGGAGGAACACCGGUGGCGAAGGCGGCUACCUGGACCGGAUCUGACGCUGAUGCGCGAAAGCGUGGGGAGCAACAGG
rnacentral:rRNA from 1 species